GAAACUCAAAGGAAUUGACGGGGACCCGCACAAGUAGCGGAGCAUGUGGUUUAAUUCGAAGCAACGCGAAGAACCUUACCUAAGCUUGACAUCCCAAUGACAUCUCCUUAAUCGGAGAAUUCCCUUCGGGGACAUUGGUGACAGGUGGUGCAUGGUUGUCGUCAGCUCGUGUCGUGAGAUGUUGGGUUAAGUCCCGCAACGAGCGCAACCCUUGUCUUUAGUUGCCAUCAUUAAGUUGGGCACUCUAGAGAGACUGCCAGGGAUAACCUGGAGGAAGGUGGGGAUGACGUCAAAUCAUCAUGCCCCUUAUGCUUAGGGCUACACACGUGCUACAAUGGGUAGUACAGAGGGUUGCCAAGCCGUAAGGUGGAGCUAAUCCCUUAAAGCUACUCUCAGUUCGGAUUGUAGGCUGAAACUCGCCUACAUGAAGCUGGAGUUACUAGUAAUCGCAGAUCAGAAUGCUGCGGUGAAUGCGUUCCCGGGUCUUGUACACACCGCCCGUCACACCACGGGAGUUGGAGACGCCCGAAGCCGAUUAUCUAACCU
rnacentral:rRNA from 1 species